ensembl:snRNA U6 U6 spliceosomal RNA
GUGCUCGCUUCAACAGCACAUAUACUAAAAUUUGAGUGAUACAGAGAAGAUUCGCAUGGCCCCUGCACAAGGAUGACACGCAAAUUCAUGAAGUGUUCCAUAUUAAA